CUUAAGCAGUGGAUGAUGCUAUCUGUGCUCUCUGAAACACAAAAGUGGAGAUGGUUCUUCCACGACUCCGAUGAGUCUGAAUCUUUCUGUGUGGUUGUACUGUCAGAGCUUCAUCUCCCAUCAAGCCGCCCUUUCUCAAAGUGAGAGGCACUUUGGAUAAAAGUCUGCACUGUAAAUCACUGUUCGCUGUCAGCAUCACAAGGAGCUCUCAUCAGCAGCUGCUCAUUAGAUGUAAUGAGGCUUCCACAUUAGAGGAGGUUCAACACUAGGAUCGCACAGACUGUGUGUCACAUGUACAGUCGGCCAUUGUGGACGGUCUUCAUCUAUCAAUGCACGUCUCACUGUGGUCACAAUGACACGUAAUGAGCGCUGGUUUUACUGAGCUGCAUGUGUACUCUGAUCGAGGAAGCGGAUGGUUGAUAUAACUUUGUUUUCUGAUGUUCUUUAGUGACAAAUAUCUCAAAGUAGUGCAAGCUCUGCGCGUCACUCACUGCAAACACCGAAAGAGAAUAAAAGGAGGCCUAGGCUCAGACACACAGCAGAGGAAUGGAGAUUAUUUCCAGGCAGUAAUCAACAACGAGGAUCUCCUACGAUCACAUCACAGGAACCUCCACAUGAACUCUUAUGGACAUAAAGAACCUCAGCAGGCACUCUCUGAGCUAACGAGACCUCAAGAAUCAUUUCCCAUUACCAAAUCACUCGACACCUACACGAAGCCUCUGCCUGAAGGAACCAGAGCCUUCAUCCUUCAUAAAGUCAGGCACUGCCAAACACCUCAGCGUUGGCCAGCCCCCCUCUGAAAAACCCCUGAAAAUGUCCGUUGCCCAUACAAGACGAUUUCAGAUCCCGCUUCCUAAUCAAGAAUUCCUGAAAAGGAACAUGUGAAAACGGAAACUCUGUGCUCGGUUUGUGUUUUACCCUCGAGAUCACGUCUCUAAACUCUGUACCAUGUGGCUCACAGUCACGGCAGGCCGAGCCUCUCACACACAUUGAGCCACGUCACUGCGAAGAGGAGGAAGUGUGUGUGCGCGACUCGCCUUGAUGGGAAAUGACUGUGUGGUCUCUGAGGGGAGGAGGAAACAUUCCUUCCUUAACGUCUGCAUGAAGACAACACACAGAAUCAAUGUCCUGUUUUAUGAAUGAUAAGGAAACGACAACGCGCACACACACACGCAGACUGGGUCGACCAGUUAAACGUCUUUAACUGAUUCAAACAGAUCAGCUUUCCUCAAACACAAAGCAGCUCCGUUUGUAAUCGACUCGUCCUCUCCCGUUUGCGUCUGAGCGUGGAGAACACUCUGUCCCAGCAGCAACUGUCAUGUUUCUAUCAAGUUUCAGCUAGCAUAGCCGAGACCACUGAUGUGGUGAUGAAAUUAACCAAAUUAACACGUUCAACACGAGCAACGCUCUCUGCUCACACAAUGAAAGGAACACUUUUUAUUCAGAGUUCAGUUAAACUUCCGUGAUAUCGACUGAGUCAGUUAAUCCGUUUCUGCUGCUUCAUGAAAUUAACAACAGGUGCAUGAGUGGGACAACAAGACGACCCCCAAAGGGGGUGAAAUCCUUGGACCCAUCGUCAGACUAUGUUACACGUUUUAAUGUUAUAUUUAAUCACAUAUGGCCUAAAAUUGCACUCGUUCAAUUUAAAUGUUUUAUUUGAAGCAUCAUCUGCACACAGAGGCUUUUCACCAGUAACAGUACGUCUGUCUCUGUGGUCAACACUUGACAAACAAACGAUCACAGCAACAAAAAAUACAUCAAACAAGAAUUCAUGAGACAAAAUUACUUACAAAGGUUCUCUUUUGUGCUUACAACAUAAAAAUUAAAAAUGUGAUGACCUCAAAUGACAAAAGUCUAGACGGCGACUAUAAAACCGACUGUCACAGCUGGUUUAUGUCACGUGUUCUUUGGUGUGUGUGGAGAUGUUCACAUGCACAGUUUAAAACAGUCUUUGUUUUGCAGAGGACGACUUUUCAGCUGCUGGAAUAAAUUCGUGGCACUGCGGCAACAGUUCUACGGCAUGUUUCAGAAGUGACCGCAUUUUGUUCAACAUCCUUCUCGUGAAAUCUAAACAACAGCGAGCGUGAUUCCCUCGCUCGUCUUAAACUCCCACUGUCGCCAUAUUUUUCCCUCUGUGGUAGGAAAUAAACACGCACGCUCAGCACAGGUAGAAGAUGUCCGGUCGGGAGUGGUGAUUAUUAUUAUUAUUUUUUUUAUUCAUGUUUUAGAUGGACAGAACCAUAUACACAGAGACAACAGGAGUAAUAAUAUUCUCAGUUCUCUGUCCUUUUCUUAACAGCAAAAAACAAAUAAGAUCUAACAAUAGCUAAAGAAAACC